GUUAGAAGGCUGCGGCCAGGGCUGAGGAAACAGGAGUUUUCUGAGGUCUACCAUCAGACUCGUCCAACUUAGCAGGAACUGCAGGACCCUUUUCUGGAUCUGUGACAGGAACUUGGCAGUGUCUUAUGUGUGCCCUGCCUCCUUAUUUAAUGCAGUCUCGCUGUGAACUCCUGGUCUUCCUGUCUCAAGCUUGUCAGUGCUAGGACCACAGGUCUAGGUCCUGAACAGAAUCAUCAGCGUAGUUGUGCCUUCUUCCAUGCCCCAAAUAAAGUGAAACUCGGAGGUUAAUUGUGCUUUAAUAGAUUAGUAAUAAACCAAAUUCUAAGUUUUUAAAGAAUAUGAUUUGCGAUAAAUAGUAAAACAAAAGAGUGCCAACUCUACAGAGAGAACUAUAAAACACCUUAGAAAUAAAUUGAAGGCCAAUACUGUUUUAUCUGUGUCCUGCCAGCUGCUUCUCUCCUGAUCCUGCAAGCCCAAAGAGAAAAUCCUUACUACCAGGAGCUUCUUCCACAAGGCUCCUCCAAGCCUAAAGAGAGUUAGAUCUCAAAGGUCUGAUUGCUUACCACGGACGUCUCGUUUCUAUUGCUGUGAUAUGACCAAAAGCAGCUUGGGAAGAGUUUGUCUCAUCUUGUUCUUCAACAUCACAGUCUGUCAAAGGAAGUGAAGGCAAGAACUUGGAGGUUGCUCCAUUUGCAAAAUACUCUCUUCAUACGAGGCAGCUUUGAAAUUUUCUUUGUCAAUAAAAUUAAUAUAAACCUCCUCACCUUAACUUCAGACACACUCUUCAGACAAGGGCAAAAAGCAGCCACAUUCAUCACCAAAAUAUCACAAGAAUGAUCUCUAGGCAAAAUACUAAGAUUCUUCUCCUCAGAAAACUCUUGAGCCAGGCCCCAACAGUUCAAAUUACCCUUACCACCAAUGUCUUCCACAUUCACAUUGGAGUGGUCCAUUGAGCCCUGCUUAAAGCAUUUUACUGUUUUCCUAAUCCAAAAUAAAUCCAUAGUUCCUUUCUGGGAUUGAACUCAGCUUAUCAGAUUGGCACAGCAAGCACCGUCAGCUCUUGAGCUAUCUUCCUGUCACAAUAAAAUGAUUUAAUACGAAAUUUAAUAUGAAAUUUUCACAUGAAAUGAGCUUGACAAAGUUGUCAUUGAGAGCAAUGCCAGCCGCCCCAGCAUCGAAGGUGGAAGAGUGGGAGUUGCUGUUGAAGUUGCAGGUUUCUCCAGGCGGCAUGUCAGAUCCACGACGGACAUACUGGGAGGAAGCAUGACCUGUAACUUUUUUAUCAAUCUUUGAAGGAAAUCAGGGUAAUUUGGUUUACAUCUGAAUUCCCAUCUAUUGGAAGGCUGAGACGUGAAGAUCACUAUGAACUGAAGAUCAUUCUGGGGUGCAUGGGGACAGAAGAACCUUCAGAGACUUUCAUUGAAUCCGAAAGCCAAACUGGGUUAAUAACCGAGAAGACAAGGACUGGAGAGUUGGCUCAGCAGUUAAAAGCUCUUCUGCUCUUCCAGAGGACCAUGGUUCAGUUCUCAGUACACAACUUUGAUCUAAAUGGUUUAAGGGAAUGAGGACAUUUUCAUCUUGGC
rnacentral:lncRNA from 1 species